CUCAAGGCUAAAAGGGGCUGGAAACAAAAAGAAUCUGAGUACUGAACAGUAAAAUGUGGUUUUGGAUCGUAAAGAUUAUGACUUAAAAAGCAUGCCAUGGUUGUAAAACACCAUACUAUGGCCCAUAGGCAACAUCUAUUAAUGUAAAGUUCCUUUCAAUGAGUUUACCAUGACAAACAGGGGAUUAAGUAGAAAUGCACGCAGCAUAAUGUAAUACAGUUUUCAUUUGUCCACAUUGGACCUAGUGCAAACAGGUCAAAAAAGAAAUAACUCUAACCUAUAGCAUUGAUAUUUACAUUGAUCGAAACAAUGUGUGGCAAUUUGCCCCUUUCCAAAAUGUCAUAUAAACAUGAGACUAUUUUCCCCCUAAUAAUAAGAAAGCCUCUGUGCUCUGUAGCUUUAAGAGUUCAUACACAGAACGUUCAAGGUUAGAUCAGGUGGAUACUAGUCAGGAUGGGAGGACCUGUUCUGCCAAGCCUGGAUAAUAUAAAUCUAGAUAAAAAAACUGAAUUUAAUAUCGAUCUACUAACUUUUCAUCAACACAGCAAUGUUUCCACUGCUACCUACAA